rnacentral:rRNA from 1 species
UGCCAGCCGCCGCGGUAAUACAGAGACCUCAAGCGUUAUUCGGAUUUACUGGGCGUAAAGGGUGCGCAGGCGGCCAAGUGUGUCGGAGGUGAAAUCUUGCAGCUUAACUGUAAAAUUGCCUACGAAACUACUUGGCUAGAGUAUCGGAGAGGAUAGCGGAAUUCCAGGUGUAGCAGUGAAAUGCGUAGAUAUCUGGAGGAACACCAAUGGCGAAGGCAGCUAUCUGGACGAUUACUGACGCUCAGGCACGAAAGCAUGGGGAGCGAAAGGGAUUAGAUA